AAACAAAUCGUUUUCACCUUACAUCCAAACAUUAUGAGUCAAUGAUCAUCAUGCAGCAUGAGAAGCACAACAUAGAUCCUUCAGUUCUUGCAUACCAAGACUGUUCGCAAAUAAUACGUAACUAGAGGGCAAAGGGGUCAGAGGAAUCAGGACACAAUGGUUUUAUAAAUCCUGGUGAUGAUCCAAGAGGACUGCAAUGUGAAAUCACCCGUCAUUGGUUAUUUAAGAGAGACACAGUGUCAGCUGCACAUGCAUGCACCUCUCUGUUGGUCACAUGAGCAGGAGUGGCAGUUGCUGAGUCAACAUCACAAGUGGAACACUGGCCUCAAAGACACACACGACCAUUACGUUGACUUGAGAAAUCCAUCCAUCUCAGGCCAACCGUGUCUGGAUUUAGGCUUCAUACAUUCUCAGACUGUCUAAUACGUGAGGCUAAUGUGGAUCAUGAUCUGUUUACAGGUAGGUCACAUCAGAUCGAAUUGAUCUUGUCAUGCCAUUCCACUGGGUGCAGACUCUUAUAGUCCAUGUCAAUGUUUUGUGCCACAAUAUUUCCCUGUUUAAAAAUGUUGUAAACUGCAGUUUCAUUUCAAACGCAAAAAGCAGCAUGCAUGUUUUUUUGGGGCAGAAUGCGUCAAAUACUUUUCAACUAGUCAAUAUUGGCGAAGGAUUGCAAACAGUCCAACAUGGAAAGUUUUAUUAACACAAAAAUUUAUAUUGAUAAUGAUGGAUAUUUUUGAUGGCAGGCAGGAGACAAUUAAAAUAAACCAACAAUGUGGCAAAUACAUUUUGGGGUAAUUUUCCUUCUCCUUUCCUCGGUUCAUUCUGUAUAUCUUCGCUGUCGGGCAGAAUCCUCGCAUCCCCAAAACCACUACGUUUCAGGAUGUAAAAAAUAAAAAAACAACCCACCGUUAAAGUUGGUCUAGCAUGUCACGGCUGGGCUAUACACUAACCUUUGCACUGGUAGCACUGAUGCGACCUACUUUCUCAGUUGGUCGCACAAUUUUUGGGGAGGUACAGCAUGUCCAUGCAUAUUAUAUAUGUGUACAGGGAUCUAAUUUGAUGUGCGUCACACAUCUGAGACACACAAAAAUUAUCAGGGACGCAUAAAGCAUGGUGAAUCUGCGUCCACAGAUGGACAGCAUUACUAACCUAUGCAUACUGUAUAUGUGUGUGUUGGAAAAGUGCUUCAGCUAAUCAUUAGCCACUAAAAGUAAGAGUCCUGUCUUGGUGCUAGCCAAUCAGAGGAAGAGUUGGGCAGGUUAUCGUUCCAUUCCACAAAUACAAUGGACAUGAGACUUUUUUUCUGGACUCGAUAAAUGUUCAUUGUUGUGGCAAAACCCUGCGUGCCACUCACAACGCAGCAAGCCGUUGCCGGAACGUCUUAGGCUCCGUAGAUGGAAACCACUGGGAUAUUUUAGGGAAAGUUAACUAUUGAUUACUUUCGCUAGCCCCCGAGCUAACUAGCUCGUGUGCUAAGGAGCUAAGCAGCUCCCUCUGGCUUGUCGAUUGUGGCGACAUCAUUUUAAAAAAGAGGUCACUAACUCGCAGUCCGCAUCUGACCCAGAAGCAGUCUGAAACGGACCCACACCAUGGCCAAAAAAAAGAAAGGUUAUGAUUGAAGACAUACGGGGUGCUUCUAUUUUAACCGGUGUAACAUAUUACAGGCUUUACGGUAGUCAUUAACUGUACCGACCAAUCACAUGCGAGUUCCACUACCCUUUCAGCCAAUCAAAUCUGCGUCGCGAGGAGCCGUAAUCACUGAAUUUGCUGACCCGACAUUAUUUUUUGCCUUGUCGCUUGUCUUUUGACGUAGUACUGUAAAUAUCUGACUGCCAAUGAAGUUAUUUAUAAAAAAAAUAAAAAUGUCAACGGUGUGGAACAGACAACACGUCUGAGACAGACAACACGUAAUGCCCGGAUCAGACUACAAGACAAAUUUGCUCUUUCACGAUUGCACUAUGUCAGAGUACUGCAAUAAAAUCUUGUAUUCCGAUACCACCGCAUCCCGUUUUUUACGAUUAUUGGGCUUUAUCUUGUCAACUCAAAUGCGACUGGAUACACUCGUUACCGUGGCGACGACAACAAGAGUGGAUAACGAUUGUGGUUACAUCAUCUUCUCAAACUAUUUCAAGGGUCCAAGAGUCAUGAGUGAUGCAAUAAAAAAAAUAAUUUCACAGGCAGAAAUGAAUCUGCACACAAAAUUACCUUUGUGGCUAAUGGGCUUCCUUUUGCAACAAAGCAUUACAGCAACGGAUUUUUAACAAACCAGGCCAAAUCAUAUGAUCUAACUAUUUUCACUCGUUUUUGUCUUAGAAAAACACAGACAUUCAAUCCUGAGGUGACAUAAUGCCAUAAGGCUCCUGUGCCGUCAAGAGGUGAAGUUGAAGUGCCCAAGGGAGUUAAUAGAUUUGCUCUCAGGCUAUUUUCAACACUUUGGAUUUGUUAAUAAGUUGUAAAAGUAAAUAAGAUUUCCGUCCGAAAGAUACGAUAUUGUUUGGAAAAUUAUUGGUAUCAAAAUGCUUUAUUUAAAACACUGUACGUUCCCACUGUCAUAAGAUGGAAUUCAUUUUGUAAUACAAGACUAGAUAAAAUAUUUUGUUAAAAGUCAGCCAGAGUUGCUCGGAAUGCAAAGUUAACAUCCUUUCACCAUCGUUCCUGUCUUACUGUGGAGCAUGUUUUUGUUUGCACAUUAAGGACAAAAGUCCGUUUUGUGUUUUAAUUGUUCUUUUAAAAAAAAUACCAUUCAAGCAACAAGUUUUUCCUCAUGUUUUUGAGAUUGUAGGUUGAAAAUGGCAGCUGGCAACUUGUGUGGCCUGAAUGGGGAAAUGAAAUGCCAGAGAGCGUUCACCUUUUCAGUUUAUAUUUGACAAAACCCCUUGCUUUGGGUUCGUGCAAUUAACCUGCAAAAUAUUGCUCCUCAAAAUUAUAAAGUUGCUCCUCAAAUGAAGAAAUGAUUAGCAAAACUGCUCCUCAGAAAAAACAAAUAUUUCGAGCCUUGUAUUUGAUUGUCUCAAUAGCCUGAAGGGUCAUCAGACAAUCUGAAGGAUUGCAUAAGAAUAUAAGAAUAAGGUCCUGCAGUGUUUGAUGCAACUACUUACAAAACUUAACUACUUAAAAAAAUAAUAAUAAUAAUAAUUAAAUUUAAAAAACUUUUCUGGCACCCGUUUGCUGUGUUGGAAAUAUCACACUGCACAUACUCAUCUGGUCUCAACAGACCUAGACAGAUCUAUUUAUGGUCCCUUUUUCCACAUGAGUGGUUUUAUUUGUGCGAGGCAUUAAAGUGGUGCAUCAAACACUCUUGACAGUUUUCUUAAAAAAAAAAAAAAAAAAAAAAAAAAAAAAACUGUACAGU